ACUUCUUUAUCACCGAGUGCUUGCACUCACCGAUAAAGAGUUGAGUGGCGAACGGGUGAGUAACACGUGGGCAACCUGCCCAAAAGAGGGGGAUAACACUUGGAAACAGGUGCUAAUACCGCAUAACCAUAGUUACCGCAUGGUAACUAUGUAAAAGGUGGCUAUGCUACCGCUUUUGGAUGGGCCCGCGACGCAUUAGCUAGUUGGUGGGGUAAAGGCUUACCAAGGCAAUGAUGCGUAGCCGAACUGAGAGGUUGAUCGGCCACAUUGGGACUGAGACACGGCCCAAACUCCUACGGGAGGCAGCAGUAGGGAAUCUUCCACAAUGGGCGAAAGCCUGAUGGAGCAACGCCGCGUGGGUGAAGAAGGUCUUCGGAUCGUAAAACCCUGUUGUUAGAGAAGAAAGUGCGUGAGAGUAACUGUUCACGUUUCGACGGUAUCUAACCAGAAAGCCACGGCUAACUACGUGCCAGCAGCCGCGGUAAUACGUAGGUGGCAAGCGUUAUCCGGAUUUAUUGGGCGUAAAGAGAACGCAGGCGGUCUUUUAAGUCCGAUGUGAAAGCCUUCGGCUUAACCGGAGUAGUGCAUUGGAAACUGGGAGACUUGAGUGCAGAAGAGGAGAGUGGAACUCCAUGUGUAGCGGUGAAAUGCGUAGAUAUAUGGAAGAACACCAGUGGCGAAAGCGGCUCUCUGGUCUGUAACUGACGCUGAGGUUCGAAAGCGUGGGUAGCAAACAGGAUUAGAUACCCUGGUAGUCCACGCCGUAAACG
rnacentral:rRNA from 1 species